AACUUCACAACAGUGUAUCACAUACACACCUCACCAAAUCUCACACAAAUCAGCCCCUCUCAUCGUAGCCUACCGUAUGGGCCAUUGCGACGACCACCGCCACCGCCACCGGCGCAACUCACCACCGUCGCAGCUGCACAUCACAGUUUUCUGUUGAAUGCUCUCUUCCCUGGAUGGUGGUGGAUCAUAUGAUUGAGUCCCAAAAUGCAGGUCUUCUGGAGAGUGUUUUAAUGCCAUUUGACAUCUAUAAUGAUUCUGCUUAGCAAGCAUUAGUUAUUCUCAAGCAACGCUUUCUCUAUGAUGAAAUUGAAGCUGAGGUGAUUGAAUAAAAUUGAAAAAAGUGAAGUUUUUCUUGUGAAGAUUCUUUGAUGAUUUUUGUCUAUUUUGUGGAGUUUUUUCUUGUGCAUGGAAAAUCUGCAUAUAAUAUGUUUUCCCUUGUCAUACAAUCUGAAACUUUUUGGUGAACUUCCAGCAUCAAAGCUAAUAUUUAAUGGAGGUGAGCAAGGAUUGAAGUUUUGUUUUGGUGUUCCAUUUGGUCAGCUUUGAAAUGGAAAAGUUUCAGAAAAGUUUUGAAUCAUAAGGGAAAUGAAAAAGAAAAAAAAAAAAAAACUUUAUAAAAUGCAAUGAAAUGUUUGGAAACAAACUUUAAAACCCAUCCACACACACACAUUUAUAUAUAUGUAUAAGAUCAACAAUUGAUUAAAUGAACACGUUCGAGGUCUUUUGGUAAUGGCUAAAUGUGAAGAACGAUGUUCAACGAAGGUCAAAUAAAUAUUGAAUUUAAUAAACAAAAGUUUAAAGGAUUUAUUUGGGGAUAUGGAGUUUGCCUCUAGAAAAUGUAUGGCAGGUUCUAUUAGUUGUAGAUAAGAAAAAGAAGAAAGUGUUUGUGAGAACAAAAAAUCUCCACUCCGAGCUUCAAACUCACUAUGAGUGUCUCAAUGAUGUGUAUUUUAUUCAGUUGUGAAUAUUUUGUUUUCUUUUUUAGUUGGAUCAUUGUUUUGAUAUAUUUGUUUCAAAGCUGUGUGAGACGAUUUUUACCUAUUACAAAAGUUGGGCAGCAAGGUAUGCUCUUGCUCUGUGGUUUGGACCUGUCCUAUUAAAAUUGUUUUAUCUUACUAUUUCUUUCUUUCUUUUUUGUUUUUUUGGGUUAUGAAAUUCUUUAGUGAGCUACUUGAUCCCUCAUUCCUUUUUGCCCUGGAUAAUGGGGAAAAGUUUUCUGUCCAACCUAUGAGAUUCGCUGCACUACCUAACCUUGGUUAGGAAAGAAAAGAGGGAUAAGUAUGGGAGAAGAAAAAAACAACAGGAGAAGGGCAAUACGAUGAUAAGGAAAGGGAAUAGAGAGCAAGUGUAGCUGGCUAUAGGGUUUCUUAAAUUGCAGGCAACCCGCCAAAGUGCCAAAACCAGGAUCUAAAUUCUGCACACCAAAGCUUUGCUCGGUUACACAGUGGAUUCUUUGGAAUACCUCACAUGUUUUCCAUCGUCAGGUUUCUAGGGUCUAGAUCAUUGCAUUGGCUUAUCCGUGCCCUCCCGGAUCAUGUAUCGAAUAAGAUAACUACCCUUGAACCAAUGAUUACAGGACUGCAAGAUGCAUUGCCAAAAUCAAUUGGACUUCUUCCUUUCGAUGGAGGAGUAACAGGUUGUUUGAGGCUUGUCAAAGAACAUCUUCACUGGGUGUCAAAAUCAGAACUCAAACAGAGGUUCUUCGUGGAAUAAAGGAGUUGGAAGCGUAUUAUACUGGAUGGGGCUUCUUCAUAUUGUUCUGAGAGAAGUGGAUAUCACGCAUUUCAUGCAAACAGCCCCAUGGUUAGGCUUGAUUCCUAGUGCAGAUGGGCAAAUAUUGCAGUCCCAAGAUGGGGGAGAUAGCCCUAUAGUCACUCUCUUCAAAUCAGCAACUUCUACAGCUGUGUCAAACCCAGGGUUCUCAAAUCCAACAGCAUUCUACACCAUAUCAAAACAGGCAGAAGCUGCUGGUGCGUAGUUGCCUACCAUCUCUCCUUGAAUGAAUGGUUUAUUGGGGAGCUUCAUUUAUGUACACAUGUUUUUUCUAAGUUCACAUUAUUUUUUUGUUUGGAUAUCAACUACCGAAUGAAAUCUAGUGACACUAGUCUGGAUAUUUGAUAGUUUAAUACGACAA